rnacentral:piRNA from 8 species
CCCGGAUAGCUCAGUCGGUAGAGCA